ACAAUGUAAGGAUUGACAGGCUGAUAGCCCUUUCUAGAUCCAUUGUGUGGUGGUGCAUGGCCGCUCCUGGUUGGUGAAGUGAUUUGUCUGGUUGAUUCCGUUAACGAACGAGAUCUUGACCAAUAAAUAGGCCGCAGUGUCGAAGUAGUUCGUUGGUUGCUCCUUCGGGAAACUAACCUCGAGCGAGACAGCUGCGUACUAAGCUUCUUAUUGGGACUGUGCGCGUCUAUAGCGCGCGGAAGUGCAAGCCAAUAG
rnacentral:rRNA from 1 species